AGAGUUUGAUCCUGGCUCAGAAUCAACGCUGGCGGCGCGCUUAACACAUGCAAGUCGCACGAGAAAGGGAGCAAUCCUGAGUAAAGUGGCGUACGGGUGAGUAACACGUGGAUCAUCUACCUUCUAGUGGGGAAUACCUCUGGGAAACCGGAGAUAAUACCGCAUAAGCUCGUGAGAGGAAAGCAGCAAUGCGCUGGAAGAGGAGUCCGCGGUCGAUUAGCUAGAUGGCGGGGUAACGGCCCACCAUGGCGAAGAUCGAUAGCCGGCCUGAGAGGGCACACGGCCACACUGGCACUGAAACACGGGCCAGACUCCUACGGGAGGCAGCAGUGGGGAAUCUUGCACAAUGGAGGAAACUCUGAUGCAGCGACGCCGCGUGAGCGAUGAAGCCCUUCGGGGUGUAAAGCUCUUUCGACGGGAACGAUAAUGACGGUACCCGAAGAAGAAGCUGCGGCUAACUACGUGCCAGCAGCCGCGGUAAUACGUAGGCAGCAAGCGUUGUUCGGAAUUACUGGGCGUAAAGAGUGUGUAGGCGGUGUUCUAAGUGUGGUGUGAAAUCUCCCGGCUCAACUGGGAGGGUGCGCCGCAGACUGGAAUGCUAGAGUGUGGGAGAGGUAAGCGGAAUUCCUGGUGUAGCGGUGAAAUGCGUAGAUAUCAGGAGGAACACCUGGUGUAGACAGCUUACUGGACCAUGACUGACGCUGAGACACGAAAGCGUGGGUACAACAGGAUUAGAUACCCUAGUAGUCC
rnacentral:rRNA from 1 species